UUUGGGGGAGCAGAAGGUGGGAGGUCUGGCUUCUGUAACUGCUUCGCCACUGGACAUGGGUGUUGGCAGGUCGAUCCAGACCCCCAGCCUGUUUCUGUUUUUCCCCAGUGGGGCAGGGCUCUGGGGAGGGGAGGUUCCGAGAGUCACUGGUGAGGUAUCACAUUCUCUCUGCUGGGCGAACCACCUCCGGGGCCCUGUGCCAUUUGAAUCCUGCAGGCUCUGCCUUCAGUCAGGGCCUGUUUCUAAGCCUGUGACCUUCUCGAUGCUUCUUUGAUGCCUGCUUUCUGGACUCCAGGAGGCCUGGCACCCACGGGGCUCGCUAGUCCUUCCCCUCUGUGCUGGGAGCAUGUCCAGACCACUGCCAGUUCCCGUGCUUGUCUCAGUGAGUGAGCAGUGAGCCUUCGAGAAGCAGAUACCAGCACUGUGUACCCCAUGACCCAGCUCAGGUAGCAGGGUAUGAACUCUGUGGCUUACUCAGCCCCGUUGGGAACCCCGAUUAAUCAUUCACCGCACUUCUAAGCCACCCCGUUGACCUUGACCAAACUGGUAGGAAUUAGUCAGCGUCUGGCCUGGCUGAGCAGGACCGUGACGCAGAAAUCGCUUCUUGCUGAGAGCUUUACCCUGCCCGAGUGGGCAGCUGGCAUUCUGAGAGUUUUGGCCCUUGGCAGCCCAUGGUGCCAGUGGCUUGCUCACCGGAUUCACGGCCUUCUUGAGACCAGGAUGUCCCACAAGGUGAGCCACCGUCUGGUUCUGCUUGCUGGUGCUCCUACUUCAGGGCUGACCUGGCUUGGUUGAAGACGCCCUGAAGCCUCUUCCCUGCCACAGGAGGGUUAUUCUAAAGUCACUCUUCCUGCAAGACCUGAAUUGCUGGUUUUCCACUUUGC